CACUUCUCCCGCCCUCUCCGUGUGUGUGGGCAGCGUGUGCGCACCGGCCCUCCCUAUUCACAAACACACACACGCACAGAGAGAGAGCGGAAAGCCACGUGUGCCUUCCUUCCUUCCUCCCGUUUGCUGGGAGCCGUUGCCGCCUCUUUCCGUACGAGAAAGAGGCAAGCUGGCCAAGGUGCCUUGUCGCUUGUGCGUUGGCUCUUGGCCGGCAAGUGAGCAGGGAGGAGGACGGCUGUCCCCACGAGGCUCAGCAGCGCCCCUCGGGAGCAGAUGUGCGGCCGCUUCCCUGUAACCUGCCUCCAAGGAAGGAAAGGAGACACCGCUUGGCACCGACGCGCACUUCAAGGCGCAAUCCACCGGAGAGUUUGGCCAUGGCGCAGGGAAGAAGCCGCAGCUGCUGCGAUCCACUUUCCUCUUCGGUUUAACCAGCUUCAAGGCCAGGAGGAGGAGGAGCUGCCCAACACAAGGAAGCCCCGGGUGCUGAGCUGUGGUGGAUGAACUCAGACUGGUGCAAAAUUGGAAGACAAGGUGAAUCCUCAAAGAUGGCAUCCUACAAACCUUUAGAUAGAAAGUUGGUCCAGCAUGACUUCUCAGCUAGAAUGAGUAAACUGCCAUACCUUCAUCACCAAUUCUGCUCUUUAGAGCGAAAUAAUAUAAGAUUGCAGUCACGGGUGUCUUUGGAUCACCUGUCAAUUUAUGGCAGCCACAUCCAUUUCAUAUGGUUUUCUUUUAGGCAAGGAAUACACAGAGGUAGUUUUGCCAGCUACUUCCUCUGAAAUACAGUCAAUAGUACAGGCAUGGGCAAACUUCGGCCCUCCAGUUGUUUUGGACUUCAACUCCCACAAUUCCUAACAGGUGAUAGGCUGUUAGGAUUUGUGGGAGUUGAAGUCCAAAACAACUGGAGGGCUGAAGUUUACCCAUGCACCUGAUAGCACCUAUAGCACCUGAUAUCUCAUCCAUGUACUAACCAAGGCAGACCCUGUUUAGCUCCCAAGUGAGACAGGAUCUUUAGGGUAUUUAGGCCCUAGAUCAUCAUACCAUCAUACAUACAUUUAAAUACACAUUUAAAUAAGGACAAUAUUUAAAUAAGGUAAUAAGUACCAUUGACACAGUAGGUAUUAUUUCUGAGUAAUAUUUUGCUCAUAACAUGAAAUGGCAUGAUUCAGUGGAAAUGGCAAUAAUGCUUGGAAGGUAGAAGGCAGUAGGCAAAAUGGGGCAAUGGUUGUACUCAAACAAGGAACUCAAAACUCUGAGUCUGCAAGACCUGAGCAGGGCUGUUAAUGGCAGGGUGACUUGGAAGUGUGUCAUUCAUAUUCGAACUCAACUUGACAGCAGUUAACAACAGAAAUGUAUAUUUUUUGUUUUGAUGUCUGCUCCAGUAUUGUAAAAUUAUUUCCUUUGGAUGCCGACAACUAACUUGUAAAUCAAUUUUCAAAAACCAAAGCUGCUGGGUGGAGCACCAGCAGGUGGAGGUUGUUUUUGGGAAACCUUAAUUCUGAUAUACUUACACUUUAAAAACAGUUUUAUGGCAUUUCACUGUCAAUAAACAUGUUUCUUCAAAUGAAACCAAGCAACUUGUAAUCUGAUUCUACUCAAUAUGAUAACAGAUUAUGAAAUAGCUACAAAUACAAAAAUUCCUUCCCUGUCAUUUUUCCACUUCUUUUCAUUUCAUAUCCCUUUACAUUUCGUAUUUAUUGACAUGACACUUAAGUACCACUUGGUAUUUCAGAGGUGUGGCUGUUUGUCUUCCUUGUAAAUUUAUAUAAUUUAGAAUAAGGAUCAGUAUACGCAUGUAAUUUGAAAUCUGCCCCUUAUACAUAGAAACAUGUUUUUGAAGUGUGUAACUGUGGAUCUCCAAAUGUUAGUUGAAUGCAGAUCAUGUCAACUCUAGCCAUUGGUGAGACAUUAUGGAGGUUUCAGUCUCCGCUGGAGCAGUGGGUUAGACCCUUGUACCAGCAGGACUGAUGACUUGAAGGUUGGGUUGCUGACCUGAAGGCUGCAACUUCAAAUCCAACCCUCUAUCCGCUCCAGCUCCAUGCAGGGACAUGAGAGAAGCCUCCCACAAGAAUGGUUAAAACAUCAAAAUAUCUGGGCAUCCCCUGGGUAAUGUCCUUGACGGCCAUUUAUCUCCCACCAGAAGCAACUUGCAAUUUCUCAAGUUGCUCUUGACACUGAAAAAAAGUCCAACAUAAGAAAGGACCAAAGUUGCUCCCCUCUGCUCUAAAUUGAUUCCAGGGUUUGGGGCACAAAUAGUUUCCUCAGAAUUCUUACACCACUCAAGCCCUAGGUAAUAUCCAAAUAUUGCUUUUCCAAUAAGAAAAGUUGCUUCAGAAUAUUUUAUGUGAACACAUUGUUGAGCUAUUUAAAUAAUGAAAGUUGUAGUUGUAAAAUAUAUAGCUUGUUUUUUCUAAUAAAUACAUUUGCGAUGGAACUGUAAGAAA